CACAGUAGUCUUCUAGCAGUGUAGGCAUAUCUAAAACUCUACAGAUGAAACAUUGUGUUAAAACAAAGUUUAAUAGCUGGAAAUAGCAUCACAUUCCAUAAAUUACCAUGUACAUGAUUAAUAAAUUAACAUUCAUAUCAUUAUUAUUAUACAUUCACUACACUUUAAAUAGUACCCUUGUUCUCUACAUAGUGCACUACUUUUGACAAGGGCCCAUAAGUAGGGCACUAUGUAAGGAUUGUAGUACAGCUGUAUUUUGGGAUACAUCCCAUUUACGUGAACAAAUAAAACACGGUGUCAAGUGGAGCAGGAAAAUGGGAAGACUUUCCAUUAAUGCUUCACACACCCUAUUCCCUACAUAGUGCACUACUUUUGACCAAGGCCCUAGUGCACUAUAUAGGGAAUAGGGUGCCAUUUGGGACUGACAACUGAUCCCCAAGUCAGCAUUUAUCAGCGAAUGGAUUUGGGGGUAGUGGGAACAUUGUGGGGAGCAGCAAAUGUGAAUAUUGCCCAGGUGAAGACAAGGGAACAGGGGGGCAGCCAGGUAACAAGGGUGAACAAUGAUGGUUGGAUGAAGAGGUAAUGAGCAGGAAAAGGGAAAAACUAAACUCCACAAGUACCGUCAUCAUGUGCAAAUUAACUUUAAAACAGUCAAAAUAUUCAAAUCAAUGGCACAGGUCUGCGUGAACAAAACAAUAGUAAAAAGUAUGUGCAUUAAACAGUAAAUACCAUUACUUUACCAUAUAUUUCUUCCCUGACUCUCCUCCCUCACUCUCCUCCCUCACGCUCCUCCCUCACGCUCUCCUCCCUCACUCUCCUCCCUCACGCUCUCUUCUCUGCGUGUCUUGCUAGUGUAGUGAUCUAGUAGUGUCACUGUCUGGUGAGAUCAAUAAAGGCACCUGUCAACAGGUACAAAAUGAACACGUAAAGGAACUGGUCAAAUAACCCCAGGAAGUGGAAAUCCUUUCAACAACAAAAAUAAUCCUCUACAACAGGCAGGUGUUGCACCCAAUAACGAACAUAACUUAGUGGUGUUAAGUUAGGGUGAAAUGUAUGUAGGUGGGCGGCAGCGUAGCCUAGUGGUUAGAGCGUUGGACUAGUUAACCGAAAGGUUGCAAGUUCGAAUCCCCCGAGCUGACAAGGUAAAAAUCUGUCUUUCUGCCCCCUGAACAGGCAGUUAACCCCACUGUUCCUCGGCCGUCAUUGUGAAAUAAGAAUGUGUUCUUAACUGACUUGCCUAGUUAAAUAAAAGGUUUAAAAAAAACAAAUUAAAAAAAUGUAGUUCUGUCCUUGAGCUGUCCUACUGUCUAUUGAUGUUUUGUGUUUUGUGUGGACCCCAGGAAGAAUAAUGGCUGCUUUUGCAACAGCUACUGAGGAUCCUAAUGA
rnacentral:lncRNA from 13 species